rnacentral:rRNA from 1 species
UACGUAGGGUGCGAGCGUUGUCCGGAAUUAUUGGGCGUAAAGAGCUCGUAGGCGGUGUGUCACGUCGGCCGUGAAAACCUGCAGCUUAACUGUGGGCGUGCGGUCGAUACGGGCAUCACUGGAGUUCGGCAGGGGAGACUGGAAUUCCUGGUGUAGCGGUGAAAUGCGUAGAUAUCGAGAGGAACACCUGCGGCGAAGGCGGGUUGCUGGGCUGAUACUGACGCUGAGGCGCGAAAGCCAGGGGAGCGAACGGG